GAUUACGUUUAUUAGAAUCCCACUUUGUUCCAUCUCAAUAACAGACAGCAGGAUGCUCUCAAUUUUUUUCCUGUUUUCUUCUGCAAAACCUGUAACACCAAAUGUUAGCCUGACAUUUAUUUCGGUUCGCCAAGGUCUCUGCACACCAUCGGAGUCCUUUUGCUGUUGAAAUGCUCUGCUUUUCUGUGGUACUGUGGCCUCAGUGAACCGAAUGAACUACAAAUGCUUCAAUUGUUUGAAACAAAAAUUGAAUUUAUGUACUGUGCAAUUGUCCUCUGCUUUUCAGUUGGGCUGUUUGAAAUACUCUGCUUUUCAGUUGUGUUGCAGCCUUGUCUUUGGUAAAGAAUGAGCUAUACAUGCUUUGCUUGUUUGAAACAAAAAUUGAAUUUGUGUGCGAGUCUCUGACUGCAAUGCCCUUAAAUAUGUGAUAUGAGCUGUGAUGAAUGAAUACUUUGCUACUCUGAAAGUCUGAAUUAUACAUGGUUAUGUGACAUUGUGACUGGGUACUCGAAAGUGCAUCUGUGAGACUCUGAAUGCGUCUGAACUGUAAAAAAUUGUGAAGAUCCGUCACAACUUUGAAAGCAAAAUUGGCACUUCCCGGAAAUCAUUGUGCCCCUCGUGGAAAUCAUUGUUUCUCAUCCGUCAAGUCCUUUGCUAACUAUUGAGCGAUUAUCUACGAUAGGGCUGCUCGUUGAAGAGGUGAAGGAGAUGCUUAAAACUCAUUAGGUAUUUAGGGUUCAGUGGGUGCGGCGUUUGGUUAAUGGCGCAGCACAUAUUUUAGUUAAGGAAGGUUGCCCGAAUGGUUUCAUAUCCUUCAGGAUUGUAUUGCGAACAUUGCAGCUUCGGAACUGCCCGAGCAUUCUGAAUAAAUAGCAACACUACCAACAUAAAUAAACAAUUCAUUUUGUUCACUGUUGAGUGAUUAUUGCGAGCAUCAUUUGGUGUUUAAUGCAAAAAUAAAUAGAAGCUGUAUACCUUGUCACGGAGAUUACAAGUGGACGAAUGUAAAGUGAAAAUAGCUUAUAAGAACACACUUUUUCUCGUUGAGCAGGGAAUGGCCACAGAAAUGAUCAACACGCUCAGACUUGAUUUUCAGAGUGAAAACCAUGAUCUAGCCUUUAGUCGCUGCUUCGGACUGCUGCUUUUGUGUUCUCCUGCUUCUAUCUCCUCACCACGGCGAUUUCUGGGGAAAUGCUGCUUUGCCUGAAAUUAGUUUUCAUCAGCAUUUACCCAAUGCAGUACUUGACUCGUUCCAUGACACUCUUUUCUUUGCAGUGUCCUUUUCUGGCAUUACUAACAACCAUUUAACUUGUUUCAGAUGGGAAGGAGUGUUGAUGAAUUCUUUCCUGUUUAAUGUAGGACUGAUCCUACUCUGCUCCAUCAGGUAUGUUGCCAAGGUCUUAUUUUAGAAGUCCAUGUGUUAUUGUAAGUUCCCAUGACAUGUUUGAAGGCUGUAACUUUACAAGAAUUAAGGUAGUGGAGACAUGUGACAGAUCUAAAGAAUUAGGACUGGAGUUUCUGUUAUUAGUCAAGUAAUAGUGCAACACUUGGAAGUGCACACCCUGAAGGAUUUGGUGAGGGCCUAUGUUUUUUUUUUUACAUUAGAUGAAUAAUGGCCUCUGCAUGAAUUGAAUGUGAAUUGAUUAUUUUUUAAGAAGUCCUCUCUAUUGAAUUUCCACGCUUGUGUAUUAUGCAAUGUGAUUCAGUUAAGCACGACAGCUUUUGCGCACUACGCACAAGCAACUGCAGCUCAGGAGAUCUUUGGCCACACGCUGCAGUCUCUUUGCGGAAUUAAGUAUCUUUACAAGUAAGUCUUGAACUAGCAUGAAGUCCGUAGAACUAUCAACCUGCAGUUGAUGAUUCAAUAGCUCAAUCUAUAUCGUUGUAGACACUAGAAUCUCAGAGUUAUGUAUACAUACUGCUAUUGAACAUCUGAAUAUUCAGGUACAAUGUUUUUCAGUAUGGAUUUUUUGCUCUUCCCAUCCUCACACUCUUCUACUAUGCACUUUUUGUAAGUCACUUCCUCGGAAGUACUUAGCUCACCAAAUUCUGUAAAAGUUGAGCUUAUUUUGAUCAUCACAAUCUUUGUCCAGUGGUGUCGAAAGAGGAAACCGACAGGAAGGUUCCAGCUCUCAAACUAAUUUUCUGUUUGCUCUGUAAGCAAAGCCUGACGAACUCAAUAUCAUAUUUGUUCUUGAGUGAUAGUUUGGUUAGCGAUGUAUAUGAUCUUGCAAACCACUUUAUGGAAGAGCUGGAGAGUUUUCAUCAGUGUAAAUUAGCGACAACGUCAUGGAAGAUGAAAACAACCACGGGCACGGACGUUAAAGUAGGAGAACCCAGUUUCCUUUGUAAUUAAGUACACAUUUGUCGCCUGUUCUUUUCUGUAUUAUUAUUUGAUGAUCAUCAAUCGGCUGAUGUUAUUCUUCAAGUUGAUGGGUCUGUGAGAGGUGUUCUGUGUGCUCCUUUGUUGUUCCUUUGCGGUUCUGACUCAAAUUAGUUCAGUUAUUUUCUUUUGUAUGUAGCAUUCUGUGACUACCACGCACACUUGUAGAUUGUAUCAAGGAUGGCUUGUCUUGAUCUUUCUAUUGUUGUUUGUAUGUCUUUCUGGAAAUUGCACUUUGCUUUUCAAUUGAGAACUUUGCACGUGCUGAUCGAAAAUUCGUUUCUGAGCUUGGGCUCAGAUGCUCCCGAAAUCAGCAACGUUGGUUUGCAUGUAGAUCUGUGCCAGGCGUGGUAUUUUCUGCCGGUAUUUCCAUCGUACGUUGAGAAAAACAGGCAAGCUCUGAGCAGCAUUGAAUGCGAUGGCAGAGCGUACCGUAGAUGCGGACCAGCCUAGUGAACGCACGGACCAGCCAUUCUCCUGUGCCGCGGGCUGAGCCGUCUCCGUCGACGGAAAUCGUUAACGGACACCCUUCCAGACCAUCAUUAUUGUAAACCCAGCAGGGUUGGUGGGGCAACCCUAGAACAGAUUUUGCCCAUCGCCACCGCUCCAUUCCCUUUCUAGUCCCGCCGCCAUGUCCGUUCUAGCUGACUUCCUCCUCCCUCUCAUCUCUUGUCCAUUUGUGGUGACGAGCUCGAGACGAACGUUGCGGCGGGACCAGAGACUAGUCGGGCGUCGAUUCUACAAGUACAUCAUCCUUCUGUAUGAUGUCUCAUGUAUCUCCAAACAGAAGUUCUGUCCGUCUUGAAUGUCUGCACGUUGCUUUGAUCAUAUUCAGCUAGGUUCAGCAUUCAUGCAACGGAUCUAUAGUAAAUUCCUUAGCGGUCCUCUAACUGCAUCGUACGGUGUCACACUUGGCAUCAAAAGGUACUAGUUGUCAUCAAAAUCUUGUUCCAAAACCACUCCCCUUAGUGAUUUACACUUUCCAAAUUCAGGCAUAAACCUGUCCCAGAUUUGCUAUAUAUAUAUAUGAAACUACAGGCUGAAAACACUAAAAAACAAAAAAUAAAUCGACAAUCCAGAUAUAAUACAAGAUUCAUGCUGCUCUAGUACGCCUUAACCGCAUUUGCUGCAAUGAAAGACAGCCAUAUCUGUCAUCCAAACAGAUUUUCAGUGUCAAAGUCAUACAUGGAUUAUGUCUGCUUCCGACACAGCUACUCAAUUCUGGUAUGUAAAUCACGGGAUCAAAUAACCACUAGUACCAAUAGCAUUGCACAUUCUGAGAGAUGAACAUACAUCCACAUAUCAUAUCAGCGCUUACAUUUACUUAAACUGCUUAAGAAUCCAUCUAAAAAUGCAGUACAUGUCCAUAGUUUUUCAUCUACAAGGUGGCAGGUGUUUGUGCUGCAAAAUGCCCCAGCAACUAAAUCGGGACAAUUCAACCAAAAGAUCUUGCCGGGCUGCACGUAGAGUGAACGAAUACUUCAUUACUUUAGUCAAGGAUCUCCUCGUACAGGAACUCUGGGAUGCAUCCCUUAUUCCCCUUCAUCGUCACUAUCUCACAUGCAAUCUUCUUGCGGAGGUGCUCGAUCUGCUCCUGUGAGAAACAAAAAAUGCAGAAAACUGCUCAAUGCAUAGUCAAUGGGGCAUAUUUAGACUCUGUACACAACUAAAAGUUUUUCCCAGUUUGAUACCUGGUUCAUAUUCGAUCUCAGGUAAAGGCCAGUGAACUCCAGUAUGUAGUGCACGACAUACACCACACCGUCUUCCCUGCGUGCAGAGUACAUGGGUUUUUAGGGUUGCUGCAGCCAACUGGAUUUAGCCUUCAUCUAUGUAUGCUCAAUGUAGGAUCACUAACCUGGUGCAUGGCUCGUGUUGUGCAACCAACGAGUACACAAAUGACCAUCCAGUCGUCUCGACCAAGCCUGCUCCAAACUUGUCAUUAAAAAGGUUGUAAAACCUACGCUGGAACUUCCUCGCUAGCGCCUCAUGCUUCCUCUUCAUCUCAUCUGAUGGAUCUGUCUCUGUUGGAUCAAGCACCAUUACAAUCUUCUUCUCAGUGUCGAGAAUGUACAAGGACCAGCAAUCCAUGAACAUCACAGGGAACAUGAACUGAAAAUCGGUUUGAAAAAUUCGGUUAGAAACCAGACUGAACGAAGCAUGCAGUUCAUUACUUCUUCACUUACUGGUUUAAUCCCAGUUUAUUUCGUCGUCUUCCUUACAAAGUUCAUCCUGCAUUCAAUCCAAACACACCAGACUCGGGUUCAUAUGCAGUGGAGACAACACACAACAGAAGGAAUCAUCAAGCGAGUCAUAUAUACCACAAAAACAGGAUAAAAAUCUCUCUCCAUCUGUCAAGCCAUCCGCGGUACAUUUUCUUCUCUUUCUCACUGGGCAUCCGUUGAAUGCACACAAAUUCAGUGUUAACUCACCCCCAGGAGUGAGCUCAUCCAUCAAGUCCUGUCCGGAUGCCACUGCCAGCAGUGGAUGGAAGUGCUUGAACCAUUUCUUGCAGGAUAACAACAUUUAAUUUUUGCAAUGAUCAACCAAAAAACAGUUUAAGCAUCCUAGAAGCACAUGGUGCCUUGUCUGGUGGUGCACUGCCGAGGCAUAGCGUGAAAAUUUGCAAACGUGCUAAUUCAGUACAGUAGUUCUCCCUACUAAUGCAAUAUCUAUGCAGGUACUGAUUUACGAACAAUUUACCCUAGUUCAGCUAACUAAUUGAAAUAUUCUUCAGGUAAAACAGUUUUCACAAAAAAUCUAUACGAAAAAUCCGGCUGAUUGGCAAGUAAGGGUUCGGCUGCUCUGUUUUGAUCUGUAAUAACAACAAACAAUAACUCAGCUUCUGGGAGCUACCAGCAAGUAAGAGUUCUAUGCUAGCCCAUACAUACCAGUCAAAAUUGUCGUAGGCGGUGAUCCACCCAACAUUCUCAGGACUCAGCAAAAACUCAUUCAAAACUUUCGGCACUCGCACCUGCAUGAUCAGCUAUUCUCUGCCUCAGGCUUUCCCUGGAAAAAAAAAUCAAAAAAAGUGAUGGCACAUCAGCUCACUCCAUGAUGCUGUUUUUUCAAACCAAAAUUGCACAAAAAAGAAACCCACAUUGUAUCUCGUACCACAGAACCUAGCGAACAACCGCACACUCUCUCCUGCAUCGACUUGGUUCUUUCUGCAUUCAGUCGGCUUUUUUUACUGAAUCUAACUUCCCAUGAAUAAAGACUGCAGAAGUCGUAUGCCUCGUUCAACGAAUCGGAACGUGUUCCUAAUUCUGGUUUAAUCACACUCCUCGUCGGUUCCUCAGCAAACUUCCGUAUCGCUUGCUCCAGUGCGCUCAUCCAUGAAGCGCACGAAUUUCUGUCCGGCGGUGCACUCCCUAGUCUUAACCUACAGCAAUAAUGCUUCGUCCAGUCAAUUAACACAAAACUGGUGUGCUGCAGACAGUAGCAUUUUCCCUGAAAAUUAUGAACUGGUUUCUCAAAACAUUUAAUCGACAGAGUCCUGAUAUGCAGCCUGGUUCAACGCAACGUUUCUCUUAUCUGAAAUUCUAAACACCUUACGACAUCUAACUACCUGAAACACGUCAAAACCAAAUACCUGCUCCCUUGAACUUAACUAUCUGUCGACAAAUGCGCUCAAAUUCAAUAUACAAUCAGACCACGGGGACAUGACGGCUCACCUUUUCGUCCAUCAUCCAGGUGCCUCCCGAUUAACCUUUCCGAUAGAUUGAGCUGACUUUGUUGGCGACGCGGCUCUUUUCCGCCGCGCCUCAGGGCGCAACCAAAUUCACCAUUUGAAUCAUACGGGCCAAGAGCGCCAGCCUCCCCCCGGGCAGCAGCCUUAGCGGCACCGGAUCCGGGUGCUCAAGGUUAUCGGCGAACUCUUCCCGAAUUGGGAUCCUGCGGGCGCCGGAGUUCAAGAAAAGGUCUGUGAAUCAAUAGAGGGGCGGCAGAAAAAAAGAGCUUACCUGACCACCAGAUCGAGCACGAACUCCAAGCCCUUCUCCUCCAUCCUGCCACGCCGCCGGCCGUCCUCGACGCCGCCCUCGUUCCCUCGAGAUCCAAGAGCAACCCUGCAAUGACGGGCCCAAGCCGGCGGGAUGACGGCUCUGGAUUUCCACGCUCCCUCGACUAACGACCUGUGCCAUGGCACAGCCCAUCCCAGUGACGGAGCCGUCCGCGGACCCACGCGCGACGACGGACGCCCAUACCGAAAAGGCCCACAUACGACACUGUGCACCGCGUAUUCGCUACCGUAUCUUCCUUUUCCACGGGCCUAAACUGCUGCACCAGCUGGACUUUCUCGCAUCCCAAUGGCUCAGCGGACGAUCUGGAUUUAGGGUGUAGCUGAGCCUGGGCACCAAAAUGCCCUGUCCCGUGCUGAUCGCGUCUCUGAUCACUAACUACUUCAGAAACUUUUCUGUCUUGACAACACAAUGUGUGAAAUAAUGAGUAGAAAAGAAAACUCUUGUCAAGAAAAUGAAAGAAGAAAACAUAAACUGCCAAGGCUGUUGGCCAGGCUUGUGUACCUGGGAUAAUCCCAAGCAAAGGAUAUAAGAAUCGUAACUAAAUUCACCCAAAAAAAAA
rnacentral:lncRNA from 1 species